rnacentral:rRNA from 1 species
UAACCUGCCCAAGAGAUCGGGAUAACACCUGGAAACAGAUGCUAAUACCGGAUAACAACAGAUGAUGCCUAUCAACUGUUUAAAAGAUGGUUCUGCUAUCACUCUUGGAUGGACCUGCGGUGCAUUAGCUAGUUGGUAGGGUAACGGCCUACCAAGGCGAUGAUGCAUAGCCGAGUUGAGAGACUGAUCGGCCACAUUGGGACUGAGACACGGCCCAAACUACCUACGGGAGGCAGCAGCG